rnacentral:rRNA from 1 species
AGAACGAACGCUGGCGGCAUGCUUAACACAUGCAAGUCGAACGAGACCUUCGGGUCUAGUGGCGCACGGGUGCGUAACGCGUGGGAAUCUGCCCUUUGCUACGGAAUAACUCAGAGAAAUUUGUGCUAAUACCGUAUGAUGUCGAAAGACCAAAGAUUUAUCGGCAAAGGAUGAGCCCGCGUAGGAUUAGCUUGUUGGUGAGGUAAAAGCUCACCAAGGCGACGAUCAGUA